rnacentral:tRNA from 1 species
UGGCUGAGUGGUAAAGUGCUUGGCUUCCAAAUAGGAGGAUCCAAGGUUCAAAUCCUGG